GAUGAACGCUGGCGGCGUGCUUAACACAUGCAAGUCGAACGAAACACCUUAUUUGAUUUUCUUCGGAACUGAAGAUUUGGUGAUUGAGUGGCGGACGGGUGAGUAACGCGUGGGUAACCUGCCCUGUACAGGGGGAUAACAGUCAGAAAUGACUGCUAAUACCGCAUAAGACCACAGCACCGCAUGGUGCAGGGGUAAAAACUCCGGUGGUACAGGAUGGACCCGCGUCUGAUUAGCUGGUUGGUGAGGUAACGGCUCACCAAGGCGACGAUCAGUAGCCGGCUUGAGAGAGUGAACGGCCACAUUGGGACUGAGACACGGCCCAAACUCCUACGGGAGGCAGCAGUGGGGAAUAUUGCACAAUGGGGGAAACCCUGAUGCAGCGACGCCGCGUGGAGGAAGAAGGUCUUCGGAUUGUAAAACUCCUGUUGUUGAGGAAGAUAAUGACGGUACUCAACAAGGAAGUGACGGCUAACUACGUG
rnacentral:rRNA from 1 species